UACGUAGGUGGCAAGCGUUGUCCGGAUUUAUUGGGUUUAAAGGGUGCGUAGGCGGCUUAUUAAGUCAGUGGUGAAAUACUCUAGCUCAACUAGAGGGGUGCCAUUGAUACUGAUGAGCUUGAGUACAGAUGAGGUAGGCGGAAUUGACGGUGUAGCGGUGAAAUGCUUAGAUAUCGUCAAGAACACCUAUAGCGAAGGCAGCUUACUAGGCUGUAACUGACGCUGAGGCACGAAAGUGCGGGGAUCAAACAGG
rnacentral:rRNA from 1 species